AAGCAUCCGUAGCCGGCUAUGCAAGUCUCCGGUUAAAUCCACCUGCUUAACAGAUGGGCCGCUGGAGAUACUACAGAGCUAGGGAGUGGGAGAGGCAGACGGUAUUCGGGGGGUAGGGGUAAAAUCCUCUGAUCCUCCGAGGACCACCAGUGGCGAAGGCGGUCUGCCAGAACACGUUCGACGGUGAGGGAUGAAAGCUGGGGGAGCAAACCGGAUUAGAUACCCGGGUAGUCCCAGCUGUAAACGAUGCAAACUCGGUGAUGCAUUGGCUUAUGGCCAAUGCAGUGCCGCAGGGAAGCCGUUAA
rnacentral:rRNA from 1 species